AAACACCGCCACGGCCACCACAACAAAAGGCGCCUCCCCGAAGUAGGUCUGAUGUCCGCGGGACGGGUGGGCCCGUCGUGGAGCGCACUUCUGCGCCUCUAAUCUCGGGCGUCCAUCUGGCCCGGGCGCGCUGGAGGGCUCCGGGAGGGGCGGGGCCGCGCGCCUCCCAGGCGCGGGCACGCGCGCCGGCUCUCCUUCAUGUUCACCUUGACUGCGGGGGGGCGGGGGAUGGGGCGAUCGUCCCCCUCUCCCCGACUCCUCUCCCAACCCCCCGCAGCUGUCCUGCCCAGACGCCCGCCCAGGCGGGGUGGGGGAGGCUGCACCGGCGCUCAGGUCGCCGCAGCGGCCCGGCAGCCGCCGCAGUGAUGUCAACCGCAUCCGCCGCAGUCCCCGGCAGCCCUAAAACGCGCCGCGGCCCGCGGAAACCCCAGCCCGGCUCCUCCCGCCAGGGCCGAGGAGGAGAGGACGCGCGGGUCCCCGGAGUCCCCCACUCCGUCUGCCUAAGCCGUGGAGACCGGGAGUGGACGCACGGCGGUGCCUGGACCCCCGGGGAGGUGGAAGAAGAGGAGAGGGAAGGGAGCUGUGGAGUCAGGUGUCGAUUUGACGCCCGCGGCCGCCGAGGGGACUCUGCCCGGCACUGGUGCCGCCUGGGGGGCGUUCAGGGAGCGUGGGGCGCCGACCGCUGCAGAUGCGGCGGCGCGCGUGGGCUCGGGCAGGCGCCCCCUUUUCCCGGGAUAGAAACGGAUAAACGGAAGCGCGUGUGAGUGUGGGGGUGCGAAUCGCCACCUCCGGCCUUGGCUUUCCCGCUCUUCCGAGCUCUCCCACUUCUCACUUUCCCCAAAUCCGCAUUUUCCUUGGCACAGCUCUCCCCGAGCACGAAGGAGAGGGAGGUACCCGGGGGCAGUGAGAAUGACGUGUGCUGGUGCAGAGGGGGUGGGGGUCUGCGGGCCUGGAUCUGUGGACGGGCUCCUAAUCCUCUUGUUUUCGGAACCGUCAGCAGAUGCGGCUUCCUUUACCUGAAUAAUCCUUUAAAGGAGUAAUAAUUUUUAAAAAGGAGCUCGACCUCAGCCAAAGAGGACGGCGCACGAGAUUAGGGCUUGGUAAGGAAAAAUUAAAAGGCUCCCAAUUCUCUCUGUCCCUCUCUGCCUUCCCCUCUACCCCUCCCCCUCCCUCCUCCACCCUCCCCUCCCCUCCCCCUUCUUCCUCAUCCCCUGCAAUCCGCGCUCGACGCGAGUUCACGCGAAGGGCUGGAUUUCCAGGCGGCUCCGCAACUUGCGCGGCGCGGUGUUAUUAUUCAUCCGAGGGUGCUGCCUCCUCAACCUUUGCCUCCUGCGCCGCUCUCCUUCCCCCGGCCGCCGCCGCCAGCAGUGCAGUCCCUCCGGCACGCAUGCUCUGGUUCACCAAGAGGGAGACUGAUUUUUUUUAAAUCAUGCUCAUCAUCAUCAUCAUCAUCAUCAUCAUCAUCAUCACGUUCCUUAUCAUGGUUAUCAUUUCCUCCUGCCAGGUGGAGCGACCACCAGCGCCGGCUCGCCUCCUGCGCCUUCCCCAGCGAAGGCAGCAAGCAGUUCGGGCUUGGCCGUGGCGGCCGCUCCCAGGAUGCUUCCUGCACCUCCAGCAUCCCCCCCCUUAUUCAUCUGCCUGUGUAUUAUCUCGAUCCUUUUCAUUUCAGUAGAUCCACUGCCUUUGGUUGGGCCGGCUGAAUCGCUGGGGACUGCGGCCAGUCUCUUAAAAAAGGAGAACAAAAAGCCGAAGACCUUGUGUGGCCGCCGGGACAAAGCACCUUGGGUUCGGCGAGAAGGGACGCGCAGGAGCGCUGAACCCAGAACACGCGUGGCCGCUGCGGAAGGGCGUCCGCCCGGCGUGCGGAACGCUGAGGGGACUCUCAUCCUCUGUCUCGCCCCCUUUUUUUGACCCGGGGAUCCAGCCGCAUUAUACACGAGUGACCUUUUAAAUCUACGUCCACCCUUUACCUGCGAGAGGACUGCAGCAGGCGAGUUCCGGAAGGCUGAAUCCCCAGGUCCCAGCCCCGGACCGCGGCAACUCGCCCCUGCGGCACGCCCGGCCCGGCUGCGCCCCCACUCAGCGAUGGAGGAAAAAGCCUGGAUGCGAAAGGAUGGGGGAGAACAAAGAGCCUUUGGAAGACGUCGCUGUUAUCUCAUUGUCUGUGUGAUUGGGGGAGCUGCGGAGAAAGGCCUCUCUCUCCGUGUUCACAGCGGACCUUGAUUUAAAUGUCCAUACAAUUAAGGCACGCGGUGAAUGCCAAGAAUGGGGCUGGCUGAGCACCGUGGGUCGGCGAGGGCCCGCCAAGGAAGGAGCGACCGACCGAGCCAGGCGCCCUCCGCAGACCUCCGCGCAGCGGCCGCGGGCGCGAGGGGAGGGGUCUGGAGCUCCCUCCGGCUGCCUGUCCCGCACCGGAGCCCGUGGGGUGGGGAGGUGUGCAGCCUGUGACAGACAGGGGCUUAGAGAUGCAAACAGACUCAGGGAGAGAAACAGAAGCUGAUUCUGUGACAGAAGCAGAUCUGUGCAGCACAGAUGCGGUGUGCGUGGGGAGGGGGUCGCCUGGGAGCGCAUUGCGGAGUGCUUGUGUGUGCAGAUUUUUCUCUGGGCUCAGGACUCAUUGUAUGUGGGUCAACACCUUCCUCCGUGACUGUGUUUUUGUUCUGAGCUGAGUUUUUUGGUUUGCCCUUAAAAAAAUAAUAAUUUGGCAUCCAGAGACUGGCAGACUGCCUCAGGGCCUGGACUGCGGAUAUAUUGUGUUCUGCUUGAGGUUUGGGGAGGAGGGCAGGCGGUAGGAAGGGAGAGGGGGAGCUGUUUGUCACACUUUGCUGUAGAGCUGAGAGCACCUGACAAGCUUAAGGAAGUCGUUGGGCUAUGUGGACAAGAAGGAGCCAGCUCCCAGCGGGUUCACAAGCUCUAUCGGAGUUGAAAGCGUGGUCAUGGCUCUAAGGAGCACCUCACGCCCUCCCUGUAGCUGUUAUUGCAGUUUCAGGCAGAGAUCCAGGAGCUGCAGAGGAAGGGAGAGGCACAAUAACCUACAUGGACCCAAGGGAGACAUGUGUUCCUUUAAAAAUGUGAACAGAAGGAAAAACAGAAUGUGUGCAACUGGGGGUCUGAGGAAAGACUGUUUUGAAAGAGGCUGUCAGGGAAUGGAAAGGGUUAAGCUUUUCAUCCUGAAGAACCUGCUUCCCAAAUCAGGCCUUCCUCCCAUCACUAGACCCUGAGCAGCAGCUGGUCCUAGAGACCCCCCUCGUACUGCGCUGCCACAGUCUCAUCCCAUUUCCAGCUCUGUAUUAACCACCAAGCUGCAGCGGAUGGGGCAAGACCUAAGCUCAUUAAUUUCCAGGUGGAGGAAAUGGAGGAGGGGCAGGUCCCUGCAGUAGAGGGAGGAGCAGAGAAAGGAGGCCAAGAGCUGGAUCCUUCUGCCCAGGAAGCCUGCUGCAUCCCUUCCCCCGAGCAUGGCAGAGGCCUGGCUUUGCAAGGCCAAGGCCAUAAGGGAUGCUUAGGAGAUUAAUUUGAUUCCUGACACAAUAAUCAAGCCCUAAGAGUCUCCACUGAAGCUUACUGAGGACUUCUUUCCUCUCCAAAGCCUCAGUCUAGCCUGCUAAAUAAAUUAGUAUUCAGUGAUGCCUUGGAUCAGGGCCCCUCCCCGGCCUCAGUUUCCCCAAAUAUUUAUUAAGUACCUACUGUGUGCAAUCCUUGUGUAAUUAUUAACUCUUAGGCUCUUCAUUUGCCCUCCUAAAGCAGUGUUUAGAGUCAGGCAGAGGUUAAGUGUGUUGCACCUCACCUAGAUACUUCCAGAACCUUCUCUGGGUCUGCAGAAUGUGGCACAACCUGCUUGCCCCCGCAGAGAGAAAGCUGCAGUGCACAUCCUGCAGACUGCAGGUGCUGGGCUGCCUCUGGAGUCCCAGAAGGCAAGCUUGGCUGCAGGACAGAAAGGGAGAACAGCUUCUCUCACCCCUGAGCCUUCACAAGCCCUUGUCUAUUUGCCGUUGCCUUCAAAAUAUACCUCCCCCGAAACCAGUAGCUUUCUGAGUCCUGGUGUCCCCUCCGCCCUUUCUGGACAGGUUUGGGAAGAAGAAAGCAGUCAGUGCUGGGCCUUAUUGGGGUGUGAAGCGCCUUGCUCUGCCCCUUCUGCUCACUGUGAAGGCCGCUGGAUGCUUCUCUUAGGCAUGGUUUAAGCCUCCGAUUACUAAACCCCUUGCCCCACAAACGUCCACAUUGACGAGCCUCUUUUUAGUAACUGCUUCCCCGUAAUUCCUUCAGAGGUUGCUGUACCCUUCGCUGAUGUGCUGCCCUCCUGUAAAACCUCCAGAUGCCUUCCCACGUAAUGCCCCUUUCAGAUGCUUUAAGCUGAGAGCUUAAACCACAGGUACCAUGGCUGACGCCUGCCAGGUUUCUGCUGCAGAUAAUCUAUGAUGGGAGGGGCAUAUUUUUUACUUCAUUACUUAUGUAAACUCUUGUUCCAGAAAGCUUUAAUGUGUGUGGGAGUGUUCUGGGUCUAUUAGGUCUGUGCGCAUGGGUGUGGGCAUUUGCCUGUGUCCACCGGGUGGGUCUCAUUAUGAAAUGUAUGUUUAUGUAGGGCUUUAAUGGCUGAAAAUGGCAAAGAGAUGAAUAGACCACUUGGCCCCAUGUGUAAUUGCCAGGCCCCUUCUGUGCUCAAAUGAGGUGUCCGAGUGAAGGUCAGCCCUUCCCUUCUGUAUUUGGGGCCUAUUUAUGCCACCAGUAAUUUUAUAAGAAAUCUGAAUAGUUCUCCCCUUUGAGUGCAUUUAACUCUUUAGUAUCUUCUCUCUUACCUAUUUGAGCCCCUCUAGCUACAGUCUGGCUUAAAUGAAAGGGGAAUUAUAUGCUUAAGAAAAAGUAGGACACGGUUGAGGCAGUUUGCUGACUGAAUACGCGAAGAAGGACCUGAUGGGCUCAUAUGCACCACUGCCAUCACAGUCCCCAUCGUGAUGCAAGCUUAUAUGAUUCUUGAGAAACAGCCCAGAUCUCCUCUUAAGCGGAAAAGAGAUUGACCUUCUAGCAGAGGCAAAGGUAAACUCCUAAUGGAGUCUUCUGGGGGCAGCUGCAAAGCGUUCUCCCUAGGACAGAUGGAGCCUCCCUUUCCUCAUCUACUCUGUGGGUGGUUUCAGGGCCCACGAGUCAACAUGAGGAGUUGUGCUGGUGGUAUGUGUGUUGGAGGCUGGGCUGGCUGAUUCACAGUGACGAGGAUGUCAAUAAUAACAAGAAUGAGAAUGAUGGUACCUAAUAAAGACUUUUUUUCCCAAGUCCCAUCUACAAUUCUUUCAUUGGGUGUUUUGCCAAGUCUUUCUCAAUCUCAUCUCAGCUUUUUUUUUUUUUUUAAAGAAAAUGUAUUCAAUACUUAAUUGCAUCACAAAUGUAGACAUAGAAGAAAGGACUUCAAACGGAAUUUAUGGGAGGCAAUGUGUGCGGCUUUUUGCCUUAUAGAGCUGUGUAGAAGGUCUGGAAUGAUCUUCCAGCACCAAAUUUAGAUGGCCUCAAAAAAAAAAAAAAAAAAAAAAAAAUCAGGCCUUAUUGAGGGCAAGGAAUGUUCCAGGUCAGAAAUAAAAGUGUCAGCAACUCUCAAUAGGUUCAUCUUUUUAUUUCCUGUCCUUCUCCCUUUUGUCUUAAAAUAGAAACGCUACCAAGACCUGAGGGCCUGGGUCAGGGGCCGGGAAGCCCAGAAAACAAACUUCCAGAAUCACUAAGGGCUUUCUCUCUCAAAAUUACAGUGGGAGGGUUCUUUUGAAAUUCAAAUCCAACCUAUUUGUUGCUUAAGCACACACAAAAUACUGAGACCUGGGGUCCAAGAGGCAAUACUUCCGCUGCAAGUGCAUGUUGCAACUUCGCGUGAUGUUCCCAGGGCGGUUCUGCGGCAACUUGCGGCUCCGCGACUGUGGGCGCGGGCCCCAUUUCGGGCCCCGUCGGCCGGGACCGCGCCCAGGGCUUCUCAAGUGACUCGCUUCCCAGCACGCAAGAGGCAUUCUCGUCUCUUUCUCUUCGAAUGCACCCGAGACUUCUCCAUGAAGCAAGGAGAAGAUGAGCAGGCGCUGGUUUCCCUUUUCUUUUUUGCUCCCAUUUCCCAGUCUUGAUUUUUUUUUUCCCUUUCUCUCUCUCUCCCGAAUCAUGCAGACCUGGAACUCCUAAGAUUCGGGUCCUCCUGCAGUUCCCAAAGCUUUGGAUCCAUCCGAGGUGUGGGUAGAUGCGGGUUAGUCUCAGGGUCUUUCUAGGAUGAGCCCCAAGCCCAAGUUCUAAGGCGAGGGGGAGGCGAAGAGGUCAGGGCUACAAACGCCAGGGACUGUCCCCGGAGAGGUCAUUUUUCCAUUUUCCAUGCACAUCGAUUUCACUCUAGCGCCAGAUGGACACUCGACGGUCAACGUUAGAGAUUUUUCCGGAGUCGGGGGCAGGAAGCGGGACGAAUUGAGACGAGGGUACAUCCUUUGCUUCCAAGGGUGGCCGAGCCAGACCGAAGGCCUGGGCGGGAGGUCACGUCCUCCCCUGGCCACCCACAGCGCUCCCCAGCCGCAGGCCUGGGCCUAGAAGCCGCGCCCUCCCGGCCGUGCAGCCGGUCAGCCUGUGCGCCCGGCGCCCGCAGUGCGGCUCCGGGCCUCUCUCUGAUCCACUUCAGUACCUGCGGCCUCGAGGACCCCACCGUGCAUCCCGGAAAGCCUCAGAACUUGCAAGAAAGAGGGGCUGGCAGGUGCAGCCUGGGAAGAGGACCCCGCCGCGAAAGCGCUUGGGGGUUGGGUUUUAUUUGCUGGAGUGGGGGGUCCGUCUCAGUGCAUCCUCCUGGAUUCCCCAUUAGGACGCCCCGCCCAUACAUCCAGCCUCCUCUCCCGGAUACCCCCAGUGACCCGGCCAGGGAGCGGGCAUCUUCCCCCAGGACCCAGAGACGUGUCCUCGCCAUCCCCAAACACCGUCCUUCCCCACCCCCGCAACCCUCUCCACAGAAGCCAAAACCACAACAAAAAUCUUCAACCCACAAAGAAAAAGACACAUUCCUCCUUCGGCCUUAGUCAGCGUUAGUUCCAGAUCCGAAGCCGGAGGGGACGGAGCCGCUCGAAGUCGGUUGGAAGGAAGGCGCAGAAGGCUCUUUCUGUCUCCAUGAAUCUCCUUGCAAAUGCAACCGCUGCUGCCAUUAGGACGCGGUCUCUGUUUGCAAAAAAAACUCAAUUCCUUCCAUUUCCUCAUCUGUUGGGUCCAUCAGCGUGCAGUGAGUGAUGCAAGGUCCCUUUGGGUCAACAGGCCGUCCCCUGAAAUAACUUUCAGAGCCCUGGCCUCAAGGUCAUGGGCCGGGUGGCCUCUACAGGCCACAGGUCAGGACCAGGAUGUGCCUGACUGAGGCUGUGCCACCGAGAGCUUCGGACGUGCAGAAAGGUGCCCUGAGCUGCACGGGGGGCUUCUGUCAGCCCCCUCCCACUCUACACAGAUUGAUGUGGCAAUAUUUAUUCCCAUUUAAUUGAGACACUGGUUUAAUUUCAGAUUGCUUCGGCUUAAGGCCCAAUGGGGUUUUCUGCAGCUCUUUUCCCCAGUGCCUCUACAGAAAUUAAUUGCUGUUAAUAUCCAAUUUUGGCUUUAUUAUUCGUUAGCCAAUUAUGUAUCCCAUAGCCCAGGCCCCUUGCUGCUCUCAGCCUUUGCUGGAAUCAGCUCACACUAUGCCGGGCUUCUGCUUUUCUGCCUUCCCCUCUAUUCAAACUCUGUCCUCCCAAGAUGAUUUACCGGCCCGUCAGGCAUUUUGCUUGUGUCCCAGCGCUAGCUGAGCUGGCGGAGGUGUCUUUAAGACGUUUUCCCCCUUUUGAGGGAAAUGUCUUCUUUGCAGUGGACAUAAUUUCCAUUUAAAAAGGAAUCUAAGCUUCUCCACUCUCGCUUCACUAUCCUAAGAUUUGCUUUCUCUGGAGCCAUUUUUGGAGAGCAGUUUUCCAUCAAAAGCAAGCAAGGUGCCCCGGCAUCAGGGCUCCCCUCCCCACCUCCCUAGGAGCCCCUCCGAGACUGUCUUAAAGCCACCACAUAUACAUAACACCAUAGAUUCAAACAGGGUGCUUGGAGGAUGUCAUUCCACAUUUCAAGGAGGGAAACUUGAAAAAGCACUAUUUUCAGAGAUGAGGAGGGCAGCUCUCCCCUCGUCCCCCACAGAGGCCCUGGAAACCAUUCCAGCCUUGCACUGCGCAACCCUGCUUGAUGGAGCUGAUGCAACUGGGGGCGAGAGCCUUUAAAAAGUGUUCUUUUGCCUUGGUUUUUUGUGCCUUGAGUUCACAGAAGCAAACACUUCCCAUCACUGGUGCUCUGGAAACAGAAACAUACAAGUGAGAAUCCUAACGACAGCAGAGGCCCUUCUUUGUCUGCUUCCUCUCCUUCCCCCCUUGGAAAGAAUGCCUCCCAUGCCUUAAUGUGCCCUCACACUUAUCUCUAGCAGUUCCGUAACAACCUGCGCAGUGUC
rnacentral:lncRNA from 1 species